rnacentral:rRNA from 1 species
GAUGAACGCUGGCGGCGUGCCUAAUACAUGCAAGUAGAACGCUGAAGGAGGAGCUUGCUCUUCUGGAUGAGUUGCGAACGGGUGAGUAACGCGUAGGUAACCUGCCUGGUAGCGGGGGAUAACUAUUGGAAACGAUAGCUAAUACCGCAUGACAACAGUUAUUGCAUGAUAACUGUUUAAAAGGGGCAACUGCUCCACUACCAGAUGGACCUGCGUUGUAUUAGCUAGUUGGUGAGGUAACGGCUCACCAAGGCGACGAUACAUAGCCGACCUGAGAGGGUGAUCGGCCACACUGGGACUGAGACACGGCCCAGACUCCUACGGGAGGCAGCAGUAGGGAAUCUUCGGCAAUGGACGGAAGUCUGACCGAGCAACGCCGCGUGAGUGAAGAAGGUUUUCGGAUCGUAAAGCUCUGUUGUAAGAGAAGAACGAGUGUGAGAGAGGAAAGUUCACACUGUGACGGUAUCUUACCAGAAAGGGACGGCUAACUACGUG